rnacentral:rRNA from 1 species
GAUGAACGCUGGCGGCGUGCUUAACACAUGCAAGUCGAACGAUGAAGGGGGAGCUUGCUCCUCUGGAUUAGUGGCGAACGGGUGAGUAACACGUGAGCAAUCUGCCCCUGACUCUGGGAUAAGCGUUGGAAACGACGUCUAAUACCGGAUACGAGCCGAGCAGGCAUCUGCAUAGGUUGUAAAGAACUUCGGUCAGGGAUGAGCUCGCGGCCUAUCAGCUAGUUGGUGAGGUAAUGGCUCACCAAGGCGACGACGGGUAGCCGGCCGGAGAGGGUGACCGGCCACACUGGGACUGAGACACGGCCCAGACUCCGACGGGAGGCAGCAGUGGGGAAUAUUGCACAAUGGGCGCAAGCCUGAUGCAGCAACGCCGCGUGAGGGACGACGGCCUUCGGGUUGUAAACCUCUUUUAGCAGGGAAGAAGCGAGAGUGACGGUACCUGCAGAAAAAGCACCGGCUAACUACGUGCCAGCCGCCGCGGUAA